rnacentral:rRNA from 1 species
UACGGAGGGUGCAAGCGUUGUCCGGAUUUAUUGGGUUUAAAGGGUGCGUAGGCGGCCCGUUAAGUCAGUGGUGAAAUCCCAGGGCUCAACCCUGGAACUGCCAUUGAUACUGACGGGCUUGAGUUCGGUUAAGGCGGGCGGAACUGGUGGUGUAGCGGUGAAAUGCAUAGAUACCACCAAGAACCCCGAUUGCGUAGGCAGCUCGCUGAGCCGAAACCGACGCUGAGGCACGAAAGUGUGGGGAUCAAACAGG